UAGCUCAGUCGGUAGAGCAUCAGACU
rnacentral:piRNA from 7 species